rnacentral:tRNA from 1 species
UGGGAUGUAGCUCAGCUGUAGAGUGCUUGCCUUGUAGGAAAAAGGCCCUGGGUUCAAUCCCCAGCACCAA